ACGGAUGAAGGUGAUUAUCGUAUUAAGUUGCGUAACUUGACUCAUUUCUUGGAUGAUGGAGAUAAGGUUAAAGUUACAUUACGCUUUCGCGGUCGUGAAAUGGCCCACCAAGAAUUUGGAGUCAGAUUGCUUGAACGUGUACGGGAUGAUCUCGAAUCACAAGCUGUGGUUGAGCAAUUUCCAAAGAUGGAGGGCCGUCAAAUGGUAAUGGUGUUGUCGCCUAAGAAAAAAGAUAUAAAACCGGGAAAAACAAAAGCAACAGAAAGUGGAUCCACAACCACAUCCUAGCCAUUUUUUGAGAUGUUUUUUACUGUCGCCUUGGCAAAAAAACAAA
rnacentral:misc_RNA from 1 species